rnacentral:tRNA from 1 species
GAGAGUAUAGCUCAGUGGCAGAGUGUGUACUUAGCAUGCACGAGGUCCUGGGCUCAAUCCCCAGUACCUCU